GGCCUGAUCUUUUGCAGGUUGAAGCAGUUCUUCCCCAUCCUUCUUCUUUGAUUAUUCGCCCACUGAAAAAUAGUGUUUCAAAUAGGAGAUUAUUGAUUUGAGCUUUGAUUAAUGGAACAGAGGCCAAUCAAAUAUAAUGGAGGUAAACCACAGAGACCAGAAAAAUCAGGAGACGCAAAUUAGGGUCUUCGUCAGAGAGAGAGAUGGAUGCUUCGUACUUGUGUUUGGGCAAUGCUUAAUCCUAAAAAAGGUUAAGAGAGUAAUUGGGGUCUUCGUAAGGGAGAGAAUAGAGAGAGCGUUCAUGUUGCUUUUGGGAAAAAAUUUAGUCCCACAUCGACAGAUUUAGAGAGGUAACGAGGGGUUUACUAUACAAUGAAGGGGCGGUUGGGUGAAAAAGAGUAAAGGAUGGGUAACUUUGGGUCCUGGGUCAGUAUGGUUCCUUAGUGCUUGAACUCGUAAUGGGCGGGGGUCCCUUAGUGCUCGGACUCGUACCCAAGAAUCCUUGGGUCCACUGUUAAGCACCUGCGGGUCCAAGGUUUGUACCUAUACCCCGACCUAUGUCGGAUAUGCCCACCUGGUCUCUGGUCUCAUUCUUGCAUCUCUUCUCUACCUAGCAUAUUCAGUAAUAAUUACCCUAUCUAUGGGGUCUCAUUCUUGCAUCUCUACUUUACCAAGUAAUAAUUACUCUAUUUAGUAAUAAUUGUCAUAAGUAAAAAAAAAGAAAAAAAAAUACAUAUGAUGUCUUUUGGGAGAUUGCCAAAAGUAUGAUGUCUUUUGGAAGAUUGCCAAAAGUAAAGAAGAGAUUGCCAAAAGUAUGAUGUCUUUUGGAAGAUUGCCAAAAGUAAAAAAAAAAGACGAAACGCAUAUGAUGGAUGUUGGGAAAUUGUCAAAAGUAAAGAAAAAAAAAAAACGGCAUAUGACGUAUGUUGGAAGAGUAGUUUUAACGGUUGCUUAAUUGGAUAUUAUCUAUAGAAGGAUAUUACCUAUAGAAAGUACAUUGUGUA
rnacentral:lncRNA from 1 species